rnacentral:rRNA from 1 species
CCAACAGGGAUUGCCUUAGUAACGGCGAGUGAAGCGGCAAAAGCUCAAAUUUGAAAUCUGGCGCCUCUGGUGUCCGAGUUGUACUUUGGAGAGACAUCUUCCGGAGGGGCCCAGCCUAUGUGCCUUGGAACAGGACGUCAUAGAGGGUGAGAAUCCCGUCCUUGGCUGGAUGUUCCCUCCUGUAUGUAGUGUCUUCUACGAGUCGAGUUGUUUGGGAAUGCAGCUCAAAAUGGGUGGUAAAUUUCAUCUAAAGCUAAAUAUUGGCGAGAGACCGAUAGCGCACAAGUAGAGUGAUCGAAAGAUGAAAAGCACUUUGAAAAUAGAGUCAAACAGUACGUGAAAUUGUUGAAAGGGAAGCGCUUGAGACCAGAGUCAGCCUUUGGCAAACAACUAUCCUUCUGGAUGGUGCACUUGCCAUUGGUUGGGCCAGCAUCGGUUGGGACGGCAGGAUAAAGGCCCAGGGAAUGUGACUCCUUUAUGGAGUGUUAUAGCCCCAGGCGGCAU